GCUCAGGAUGAACGCUAGCUACAGGCUUAACACAUGCAAGUCGAGGGGCAUCAGGAAGAAAGCCUGCUUUCUUUGCUGGCGACCGGCGCACGGGUGAGUAACACGUAUCCAACCUGCCCUUUACUCGGGGAUAGCCUUUCGAAAGAAAGAUUAAUACCCGAUAGCAUAAUGAUUCCGCAUGGUUUCAUUAUUAAAGGAUUCCGGUAAAGGAUGGGGAUGCGUUCCAUUAGGUUGUUGGUGAGGUAACGGCCCACCAAGCCUUCGAUGGAUAGGGGUUCUGAGAGGAAGGUCCCCCACAUUGGAACUGAGACACGGUCCAAACUCCUACGGGAGGCAGCAGUGAGGAAUAUUGGUCAAUGGGCGCUAGCCUGAACCAGCCAAGUAGCGUGAAGGAUGAAGGCUCUAUGGGUCGUAAACUUCUUUUAUAUAAGAAUAAAGUGCAGUAUGUAUACUGUUUUGUAUGUAUUAUAUGAAUAAGGAUCGGCUAACUCCGUGCCAGCAGCCGCGGUAAUACGGAGGAUCCGAGCGUUAUCCGGAUUUAUUGGGUUUAAAGGGAGCGUAGGUGGACUGGUAAGUCAGUUGUGAAAGUUUGCGGCUCAACCGUAAAAUUGCAGUUGAUACUGUCAGUCUUGAGUACAGUAGAGGUGGGCGGAAUUCGUGGUGUAGCGGUGAAAUGCUUAGAUAUCACGAAGAACUCCGAUUGCGAAGGCAGCUCACUGGACUGCAACUGACACUGAUGCUCGAAAGUGUGGGUAUCAAACAGGAUUAGAUACCCUGGUAGUCCACACAGUAAACGAUGAAUACUCGCUGUUUGCGAUAUACAGUAAGCGGCCAAGCGAAAGCAUUAAGUAUUCCACCUGGGGAGUACGCCGGCAACGGUGAAACUCAAAGGAAUUGACGGGGGCCCGCACAAGCGGAGGAACAUGUGGUUUAAUUCGAUGAUACGCGAGGAACCUUACCCGGGCUUAAAUUGCAGUGGAAUGAUGUGGAAACAUGUCAGUGAGCAAUCACCGCUGUGAAGGUGCUGCAUGGUUGUCGUCAGCUCGUGCCGUGAGGUGUCGGCUUAAGUGCCAUAACGAGCGCAACCCUUAUCUUUAGUUACUAACAGGUUAUGCUGAGGACUCUAGAGAGACUGCCGUCGUAAGAUGUGAGGAAGGUGGGGAUGACGUCAAAUCAGCACGGCCCUUACGUCCGGGGCUACACACGUGUUACAAUGGGGGGGUACAGAAGGCAGCUAGCGGGUGACCGUAUGCUAAUCCCAAAAUCCUCUCUCAGUUCGGAUCGAAGUCUGCAACCCGACUUCGUGAAGCUGGAUUCGCUAGUAAUCGCGCAUCAGCCACGGCGCGGUGAAUACGUUCCCGGGCCUUGUACACACCGCCCGUCAAGCCAUGGGAGCCGGGGGUACCUGAAGUACGUAACCGCAAGGAUCGUCCUAGGGUAAAACUG
rnacentral:rRNA from 1 species